rnacentral:rRNA from 1 species
CCUACGGGUUGCAGCAGUGGAGAAUAUUGCGCAAUGGGCGAAAGCCUGCCGCAGCGACGCCGCGUGGGGGAUGGCGGCCUUCGGGUUGUAAACCUCUUUCAGCAGGGACGAAGCGCAAGUGACGGUACCUGCAGAAGAAGCACCGGCCAACUACGUGCCAGCAGCCGCGGUAAUACGUAAGGUGCAAGCGUUGUCCGGAAUUAUUGGGCGUAAAGAGCUCGUAGGGGGUCUGUCGCGUCGGCUGUGAAAUCCCGAGGCUCAACCUCGGGUCUGCAGUCGAUACGGGCAAACUGGAGUGUUGCAGGGGAGACUGGAAUUCCUGGUGUAGCGGUGAAAUGCGCCGAUAUCAGGAGGAACACCGGUGGCGAAGGCGGGUCUCUGGGCAACAACUGACGCUGAGGAGCGAAAGCGUGGGGAGCGAACAGGAUUAGAUACCCGUGUAGUC